rnacentral:rRNA from 1 species
GUUGAAAAGUGCUUGGAUGACUUGUGGGUAGCGGAGAAAUUCCAAACGAACUUGGAGAUAGCUGGUUCUCUCCGAAAUAGCUUUAGGGCUAGCGUCGACAUUAGAGAUUCUUGGAGGUAGAGCACUGUUUGGGUGAGGGGUCCAUCCCGGAUUACCAAUCUCAGAUAAACUCCGAAUGCCAAUGAAUUAUGGUCGGCAGUCAGACUGCGAGUGCUAAGAUCCGUAGUCGAAAGGGAAACAGCCCAGACCACCAGCUAAGGUCCCAAAAUAAUUGUUAAGUGGAAAAG